AAAUUUUUGGUGGUUGCUAACAAGGGUAUAUGGUGGAUGCCUAGACAUCAAAAGACGAUGAAGGACGUAGCAAUCUGCGAUAAGCUUCGGGGAGGCGAUAAGCAACCUUUGAUCCGGAGAUUUCCGAAUGGGGAAACCCUUCUGUCGGAAGGACAGAAACUCUCAGCUGAAUAUAUAGGCUGAGCAGAGACAACCCAGGGAACUGAAACAUCUUAGUACCUGGAGGAAUAGAAAGAAUUAAUAUACUAAUUAGUUUAGUGGUCACGCGAGUGGCCGCCAAGCUAAUUGGUAUUUCGAUUCCCUGAGUAGUGGCGAGCGAAACGGGAAGAGCCUAAACCGUGGCAGAGAUAAUUUAUUUUUGACCAGUAGCCUUCGGGUUGCUGGAAGGAGAUAAUGAAAUAGUCGUGAGCUUAAUGCUCUCCGCGGGGUUAUAAGAGGAUAUCGUUUUGGGGUUCACGAUCCCAAUACAUGAUGGCGUAUUAUUUAGCAGAAUGGUCUGGAAAGACCGACCACAGAUGGUGAUAGUCCAGUAUGCGAAAAAUAAUAUCUACGUGUGAUAACUUUCUUGAGUACCACGAAGCCGGUGAAACUUUGUGGGAACUUGGCGUCACUAUGCGCUAAGGCUAAAUACUUUUGAUGAUCGAUAGUGAACCAGUACCGUGAGGGAAAGGUGAAAAGCACCCCGAGAGGGGGAUGAAAUAGUAUCUGAAACCAUAUACUUACAAGGAGUCGGAGCCCUAUGACCUGCGCAAGCGGGUAAGGGGUGACGGCGUGCCUAUUGAAGAAUGAGCCUACGAGUUAGCUGUAUAUAGCUUAUUUAACUCCUUCGGGAGGUAGGUAAAGUGAAAGCGAGGAUUAAUAGUCCGUAAUAAAUUUUAUACCUUGUUCCCGCGCAAGCGGGAAUCAGGUAUAAAGUUUAUCGGCUGUAUACACUAGACCCGAAUCCGGGUGAGCUUACCAUGGCCAGGAUGAAGCGGCAGUAACAUGUCGUGGAGGUCCGAACCCACUAGCCGUGCAACACUAGGGGAUGAGCUGUGGUAAGGGGAGAAAUUCCAAUCGAACUCGGCAAUAGCUGGUUCUCCUCGAAAUAGUUUUUGGACUAGCCUUGCGUGUUAAACCGUGGUGGUAGAGCACUGGAUGGGAUAGGGUGGCAUUGCGUCCAUACCUGUUCCAAUCAAACUCCGAAUGCCACGGCGAAUUACGCGGGAGUCAGACCACGAGGGCUAAGCUUCGUUGGUCAAAAGGGAAACAGCCCUGAUCUCAAUCUAAGGUCCCUAAAUCUAUGUUAAGUGUAAAAGGUGGUGUCGUAACUUAUACAACUAGGAGGUUGGCUUAGAAGCAGCCAUCCUUUAAAGAUAGCGUAACAGCUCACUAGUCAAGUUACUUCGCGCCGAUAAUUUAACGGGGCUAAACAUAGUACCGAAGGUGGGAGUCCUUUGUCGAAGACUUUAGUUGGUUAAGUCAUAAUCUGUCCUCCUCCGCAUAAAGCUACGGAGGACGCCCUUCUCUUUGAUCUCAAGUCAAUUUAGAUUUGAUUUGAGUCUGAGGAGGUGGCUUAGCCGCCCGAAGUCUUCGACGAAGGGCGGUAGAGGAGCGUUCUAUGGGCGAUGAAGCGGUACCGUAAGGAGCCGUGGAGCGCAUAGAAGUGAGAAUGUAGGCAUGAGUAGCAACAAUCCCUGUGAGAAUCAGGGACACCGUAAACCCAAGGUUUCCUGGGCAAUGAGAAUCAACCCAGGGUUAGGCAAUCCUAAGGCGAGGCCGAAAGGCGUAGUCGAUGGAAGAGCAGGUUAAUAUUCCUGCCCUGCUAUAAUUUUUCGAUGGGGUAACGUAAGGGAAAAGUUUUGGCGUUAUUUGGUUAUGAACGUUGGUGGCUCUAGUCUGCUUUCCAGGUAAAUCCGGAAGGCAUCAGGACUAGGAGUAGCCAGGAGACUGCGGCUUCGGCCAAAGUCAAAUAAAACACUAACCUUACCAAGAAAAACCUCUAGAGCUAAAAUUAUAGCAACUGUACCGUAAACCGACGCAGGUGGGUGAGGAGAGUAUCCU
rnacentral:rRNA from 1 species